AUGGCGGCGCCCAGUGAGGUGGCGUGAAAGUUGUGGAAAGUCGGAGUGGUGGGGUGUGUGAAUCAGAAGCUUGGAGGACCUGGGAGCCAUGGCGCGACUGAUCAUGAAGAACCUCCCUAAUGGGGUGGAAACCCAACGAAAACCCGAGUCUGGAGCAAACAUGCCCAGAAGCCCAGCCAGCCCAGGCAGUCAUCACAAGCCUCCAUUCCCUCAGACACUAAAAAAGAUGACAAAAAAAGAAAAAGGUGCCCAGUGACCUGGAGAAGGUGA